AGCUCAGUUGGUGGAGCAGUCCACUGGAAAUGGAGAGGUCCCGGGUUCGAUACCCGG
rnacentral:tRNA from 1 species